GGUUAAAUAUUUCAUCUAUUUCUAUUGUUAAAAGUUAGUGCAGUUGGUAGAAUAGCUAGACAGUUAUAUAUGAUCUGUCACGUGUACUUCAUACCUGGUAAAAAUUGAUCAAUUUUUAAUAAUAGAAAUUUAUGAAUUUUUUAACA
rnacentral:pre_miRNA from 1 species